ensembl:lncRNA
CAACCCCCAAACUCAACCCCCACUCCCCACCCACUCACCAGUCAUUCCAGUUUGGAGGCUCUGAGCCAUUUCCGGAAAGAACUGGAUUAAACUCUGCCCCCUGCCUGUCACCCUGGGAACUUCCUUUCUGUCCGCACAGCAGCUUGGGGCCUGGAAGUCGGCCCACACAAAGCCCUCCCUACAAAGCCUCCGGGCUGGGCUGGGUCCGGGAAGAUUGGGAGGGGCCGUGGUGUUGGAGAAGACUCCUGAGAGUCUUUUGGACUGCCAGGAGAUCCAACCAGUCCAUCCUAAAGGAAAUCAGUCCUGAAUAUUCAUUGGAAGGACUGAUGUUGAAACUGAAACGCCAGUACUUUGGCCACGUGAUGCGAAGAACUGACUCAUUUGGAAAGACCCUGAUGCUGGGAAAGAUUGAAGGCAAGAGGAGAAGGGGACAACAGAGGAUGAGAUGGUUGGAUGGCAUCACUGACUCAAUGGAUAUGAGUUUGAGGACUCUCUGAACCCUUUCCAGCAGCUCUGCGGGCCAGCAUCGCAGAGGGACGAGAACCCGGCCGAGACAUGGGCUGGACAAUGAGCCGGCGGCCGCUGGACUGAUUUCGGUCGCUGGCAGCGCAGGCCAGGCCAAGCCAGGCCAGGCCGUCGGGGCCCCGCGGCCCCCUCGGCACCGC